rnacentral:rRNA from 1 species
UCGAGAAUCUUUCACAAUGGGGGAAACCCUGAUGGAGCGACGCCGCGUGGAGGAUAAGGUCUUCGGAUUGUAAACUCCUGUCAUGCGAGAACAAAGCCCUAUGGGUCUGAUAGUAUCGCAAGAGGAAGAGACGGCUAACUCUGUGCCAGCAGCCGCGGUAAUACAGAGGUCUCAAGCGUUGUUCGGAAUCACUGGGCGUAAAGGGUGUGUAGGCGGCGUGGAAAGUCAGGUGUGAAAUCCGGGGGCUCAACCCCCGAAUAGCACCCGAUACUGCCAUGCUCGAGGUCUGUAGAGGAGUCUGGAAUUUUCGGUGUAGCAGUGAAAUGCGUAGAUAUCGAAAGGAACACUUAUAGCGAAGGCAAGACUCUGGGCAGAAUCUGACGCUGAAACACGAAGGCCAGGGUAGCGAACGGGAUUAGAUACCCCCGUAGUCC